rnacentral:snRNA from 1 species
GAAUUUGAGGGUGACCUGGCUGUGACAAGCCACCCUACUGAUCACCAGUGUUUUUUCAGUUGAUCUUACUGGCUUGCCGUGUGUCCCCUUCCUCCUCUACAGUUUUAUGUCUGUCCUUUCUGAAGCAGAGCACUCGGUCAAAAAGGACACUUAAUUUUUUGAAUACUAAAGAUCUUUCCAUGUUGGUAUCUGUUUAGGUAACUAUCACAUUUCUAGCUUAUGCGAAUCUACUAGAAAUGAAAGAUGACACUAGAAAAUUACUAGUCGAGAUAAGAACUGCUUUUCUUUGGGGCUA